GGGGGGGCCGAGCUGGAGGGGGGCCUAGCAGAGUUGAGGCCUCCUCUUGGCCCAGACCAGAGGGAGCCCCGGCACUGCCCAGGCUUUGGGGCCUAGGAUGGAGGAGGAGCAGGCACAGUUGGGGCUGCUUUGGGGCCCAGGAUGGAGGAGGAGCAGGCACAGUUGGGGCUGCUUUGGGGCCUGGGCUGGAGGGGGGCCUGGCACAGUUGAGGCCUGCUCUUGGCCCAGACCAAAGGGAGCCCCGGCACAGCCAGGCUCUUGGUGCCCAGGAUGAAGCAGGACCAGGCACAGUUGGGGCUGCUUUGGGGCCCAGGAUGGAGGAGGACCGGGCGCAGUUCGGGCUGCUUUUGGGGCCCGAGCUGGAGUCGGGCCUAGCAGAGUUG
ensembl:lncRNA